UGAGCCAUUAGCUCAGCUGGUAGAGCAUCUGACUUUUAAUCAGAGGGUCAGAGGUUCGAAUCCUCUAUGGAUCAU
rnacentral:tRNA from 1 species